UACGUAGGGUGCAAGCGUUUAUCCGGAAUUAUUGGGCGUAAAGAGCUCGUAGGCGGUUUGUCGCGUCUGCUGUGAAAACUGGAGGCUCAACCUCCAGCCUGCAGUGGGUACGGGCAGACUAGAGUGCGGUAGGGGAGAUUGGAAUUCCUGGUGUAGCGGUGGAAUGCGCAGAUAUCAGGAGGAACACCGAUGGCGAAGGCAGAUCUCUGGGCCGUAACUGACGCUGAGGAGCGAAAGCGUGGGGAGCGAACAGG
rnacentral:rRNA from 1 species